rnacentral:pre_miRNA from 1 species
UUAACUCAUAUUUGUAUGGAGUUGGAAUGUUUGCUGCUAGGGGCGCUGUUGCAGUUGCAUACAAAUUUCAGUUA